GUGAGAUCGGGAAGAUAGGAUGUGCCCGACCCUUCUCCAGUAAGGUGAGGCAAGUGAAAAAACGGCAAAAGGCUCAAAGGCUCAUCAGCUCGUGGGGGUGCCGGCAGCCCUGCCCCGAAAGACCCAGUGGUCUAAAUAGAUGUCUCAGCUGUCCCGAAACUGAAAAGGACCCAGCGGUCCGAAACUGCACUGCUCCUGGAGCAGGAUGCCAAACCUGACCCAUGGGAAAUUUAAGGUCCAUGAUUCUCUGGGCUUGGCCAGGACGUCUCAGAGGAGUCCACUGUGGUCCAGGCUGGAGUUUGCUGUGGUGAUGGUUGUCCAUUGUGGUCCACUGGAGUUUGCUGUGGUGAUGGGAGUCCACUGUGAUCCACUGGAGUUUGCUGUGGUGAUGGCUGAUGAUGGCUCACAGGUCUCUGAAUCUCUGUCCGUUCUUUCCAGUAUGUUUUCUCUGCUGUCCAGGUAAGGGAUAGGGUACCCACAUGUCCUCAGGUUCGCUGAUGUCAUCCUCCAGCAUCCCCACUGUAUUCCACAGCUGAAUCAGUAAGAUUUUUAUUUCAUUUAUUGUCUUUUUUAGUUUUGUAAUUUUAAUUUGUGCCUUUUUAUUACUUCUUUGCUGAAAUACAUUUGUUUUAAAAAUCUAUAGUUCCUUGUCAAAUAUUUUUACUGUAUUGUUUUAAAAUUCUGAAUUCUAGGGCUAGAGAGAUGGCUCAGUGGUUAAGAGCAUUUGUUGCUCUUGCAAAAGACCCAAGUUCGAUUUCUAGGACCUGCCUCACAUGGCUCAGCUGCAACCAACCUCAACUCCAGCUCCAAGGAGUCAAGUGUCUUUUCAGGUCUCUGCAGGAAGUUGAACAAAAGCAACCCUUCUGCAUAUAUUUUUAUAGAAAAGCAACAACAGAGCCGGGUGGUGGUGGCACAUGCCUUUAAUCCCAGCACUUCUUGGGCAGAGGCAAGAAGAUCUUUGUGAGUUCAAGGGCAGCCUGGCCUAUAGGGAGUCUCAGGCCAACUAGAGUAUGGCGGGAAACCCUGUCUCAAAAACAAACAAAAAGAGUUUGAGGAAGAAAGACCACCUCAGACCAUCCGUGUACCUGUCGUUUCUUUUCAAGACCAUCCCAUUGCCCUUGACCUGUGUACUGAAAACUGGUGGAAAGCCAUCUUCAGCUUUGUCUACUGGGUCCUCAGGCCUGAGGCUGUAACACCGAGGCAGGGGCUUGCCUUGGGCAUAGGAGCCCUGGGGUUCAACCUCCAACACCAUAACCACACACACAAAAAAAGAUUGUUUUCUUCCAUCGACUAUCCAUAAACCAUUUCUGGUUCAACUUUCUCUCCUCCUGUCAAGCAAUAAUCAGAACCAGAAUGUUUUAGACAGCGUCUGAUGAACAUGUAGCAUGCCUUCGAGUUCCUUACCAGCUCAGAAUAAUGAAGAAAAGGAGUCCUCAAAUACUGUGAAUGUAUGUCACGGCCACGGGUCUCCUGGAACUGGAAUUUCAGAGAGUUGUGAGCUACCAUUGAACUGGAGGACACAGAAGAAUAAAACCUUAGAGGACGGGCCUGGCUGGUGGCGGCUCACUCCUGAAGAAGAUAUGCGUAGCCAGCCAUGGUACUCGGACCUCCAGAGCCCCCUGCCCUUAUUGCUUCUCCUACACUAGAGCUAGUGGGAUACAGUGCAAGACACUUGUGUGUGACUGCUCUUUCUUAAGCUGCAGUUCUGUGUUGGCUGGUUUUAUGUCAAUGAGAUACAAGCUGGAGUCAUUUGGAAAGACGGAAUUUCAACUGAGAAAAAGCCAGACUGGUCUAAGGGCAAGCCUGUGGUGCAUUUUUUUUUUUUUUUUGAUUGGUGAUUGUUGUGGGCAGAACCACCUCUGGACUGGUGGUCCCUGGUGCUAUAAGAAAGCAGGCUGGGAUGGGGGGAG
ensembl:lncRNA